rnacentral:rRNA from 1 species
CCUACGGGAGGCAGCAGUGGGGAAUCUUGCGCAAUGGCCGAAAGGCUGACGCAGCGACGCCGCGUGUGGGGGGAAGCCCUUCGGGGUGUAAACCACUGUUGCCCGGGGCGAAACUCCUCUUUCGAGAGGACUGACGGUACCGGGUGAGGAAGCACCGGCUAACUCCGUGCCAGCAGCCGCGGUAAU